AAAAUUUUUCCCUCCACUAAACCGAACAAUCAAAUGGCGUUGGGAAAACGCAUUCCUAAAGUUUUUCCUAUAAUAAAGUGGCUCGCAACAAAACACUUCCGGAGAGUUCGGAAAUAAACAUUCGAUCGUUUGCCGGUGAGAAAUUCGUAGUAGCUCGUUGUUUUGAUCCGAGAAUAAUCGAUUUUAUCACGAUGUAAUUUGGGGGAAAUGAAAGAUACAAGUGCUUACUAAACUGUCAUGAAAGCUACCUAACUUUUAAUUGUUUGUUGAGGGUUUUGUAUUGGUUCUAAAUGCUGAAUUCAAGUCGUAUAAAACCUUUCGUCAAAGCGAGCGUUCCAACUCAUAAAAUUUGCAACUAUUUCGGGUAUUCUUUUAUUAUAAAAUGGAAGACAACGGUGGGAUUUUAAGCGAUAGUCAUGAAGACGGAUUACAAGCAAGGAGUAAUUCGUUUAACGAGCUUCUUUAUCGACUUGAGCAACAAAACAGG